CCUACGGGAGGCAGCAGUAGGGAAUCUUCCACAAUGGACGAAAGUCUGAUGGAGCAACGCCGCGUGAGUGAAGAAGGUUUUCGGAUCGUAAAACUCUGUUGUUGGAGAAGAAUGUAUCUGAUAGUAACUGAUCAGGUAGUGACGGUAUCCAACCAGAAAGCCACGGCUAACUACGUGCCAGCAGCCGCGGUAAU
rnacentral:rRNA from 2 species